UUGAAAUUAAAGUUGGAAUUUCCAUGUAAGUAACUGAUCUCUGGAACUGAAGCUUUAAGAAGAGCACUGUCAGAAGAUUUGGAGUAAACUCUCAAGAAAUGAUAACACUGGAAUUUAUUGAAAGAAGAAAACCUAUCAAGUUUUCCUUGAAAUAAAACCCUGACAGUUCUUACAUCUUACAGACAGUAGACGUAUUUAACAUCUUUGAUAAACUGAGCUAUGAAGGCAGAAUUUAUUGUGACAGAUUCC
rnacentral:lncRNA from 1 species